AGCUAUGGGAAGAGGGGAAAUGUUCUCUAGUCCUGUGAUUAAGUUCUGGUUUUUCAGUGAGAGAUCCUGGACUGCAGACUUCACAAGUACUUGUCAGUCCUCACCCAUAUGGAUGGCUAGAGCUGGCUUUCCUUUCCCCAGGUCAAAAUGAACAAGAGACAUAUGAGCGUGGGUCAGCAAACGC